rnacentral:rRNA from 1 species
GAUGAACGCUGGCGGCGUGCCUAAUACAUGCAAGUCGAGCGAACAAACGAGGAGCUUGCUCCUCUGACGUUAGCGGCGGACGGGUGAGUAACACGUGGAUAACCUACCUAUAAGACUGGGAUAACUUCGGGAAACCGGAGCUAAUACCGGAUAAUAUAUUGAACCGCAUGGUUCAAUAGUGAAAGACGGUUUUGCUGUCACUUAUAGAUGGAUCCGCGCCGCAUUAGCUAGUUGGUAAGGUAACGGCUUACCAAGGCGACGAUGCGUAGCCGACCGGAGAGGGGGAUCGGCCACACGGGAACUGAGACACGGUCCAGACUCCUACGGGAGGCAGCAGUAGGGAAUCUUCCGCAAUGGGCGAAGGCCUGACGGAGCAACGCCGCGUGAGUAAUGAAGGUCUUCGGAUCGAAAAACUCUGUUAUUAGGGAAGAAGAAAUGUGUAAGUAACUAUGCACGUCUUGACGGUACCUAAUCAGAAAGCCACGGCUAACUACGUG